UACGUAGGGAGCAAGCGUUGUCCGGAAUCAUUGGGCGUAAAGAGCGUGUAGGCGGCCAGGUAGGUCAGCUGUGAAAACUCGAGGCUCAACCUCGAGACGUCGGUUGAAACCAUCUGGCUAGAGUCCGGAAGAGGAGAGUGGAAUUCCCGGUGUAGCGGUGAAAUGCGCAGAUAUCGGGAAGAACACCCGUGGCGAAGGCGGCUCUCUGGGACGGUACUGACGCUGAGACGCGAAAGCGUGGGGAGCGAACAGG
rnacentral:rRNA from 1 species